rnacentral:piRNA from 1 species
UGAAGCAGGAGAGCAAGGAAGUACAGG